rnacentral:rRNA from 1 species
UACGGAGGGGGCUAGCGUUGUUCGGAAUUACUGGGCGUAAAGCGCACGUAGGCGGCUUUGUAAGUUAGAGGUGAAAGCCCGGGGCUCAACCCCGGAAUUGCCUUUAAGACUGCAUCGCUUGAAUUGUGGAGAGGUGAGUGGAAUUCCGAGUGUAGAGGUGAAAUUCGUAGAUAUUCGGAAGAACACCAGUGGCGAAGGCGACUCACUGGACACAUAUUGACGCUGAGGUGCGAAAGCGUGGGGAGCAACAGG